rnacentral:rRNA from 1 species
GAUGAACGCUGGCGGUAUGCUUAACACAUGCAAGUCGAACGGACUCUUCGGAGUUAGUGGCGGACGGGUGAGUAACGCGUGAGAAUCUGGCUUUGGGUUCGGGACAACCACUGGAAACGGUGGCUAAUACCGGAUGUGCCGAGAGGUAAAAGAGAAAUUGCCUGAAGAUGAGCUCGCGUCUGAUUAGCUAGUUGGUGAGGUAAAGGCUCACCAAGGCAGCGAUCAGUAGCUGGUCUGGGAGGAUGACCAGCCACACUGGGACUGAGACACGGCCCAGACUCCUACGGGAGGCAGCAGUGGGGAAUUUUCCGCAAUGGGCGAAAGCCUGACGGAGCAAUACCGCGUGAGGGAAGAAGGCUCUUGGGUUGUAAACCUCUUUUCUUAGGGAAGAACAAAAUGACGGUACCUAAGGAAUCAGCAUCGGCUAACUCCGUG